UACAGAGGGUGCGAGCGUUGUCCGGAAUCACUGGGCGUAAAGGGCGCGUAGGUGGCGCUCCAAGUCCGUGGUGAAAGCUCGAUGCUCAACAUCGAGUCGGCCACGGAGACUGGAGGGCUCGAGCACUGUAGGGGCAGAUGGAAUUCCGGGUGUAGCGGUGGAAUGCGUAGAGAUCCGGAAGAACACCGGUGGCGAAGGCGGUCUGCUGGGCAGUUGCUGACACUGAGGCGCGAAAGCGUGGGGAGCAAACAGG
rnacentral:rRNA from 1 species